rnacentral:tRNA from 1 species
GGUCGGUUAUUUCAGCGGUAGAAUACUUCCUUCACACGGAAGAGGUCGCUGGUUCGAACCCAGCACCGACCACCA